rnacentral:tRNA from 1 species
GUUUUGAUAGUUUAUAAUAAAACAUUGGUUUUGUAAACCAAAAAUAAUUUUAUUUUCAAAACU